rnacentral:rRNA from 1 species
CCCUUAGAUGUUCUGGGCAGCACGCGCGCUACAAUGGUCUUCGCAAACGGAUGCAUUCUCGAAGGAGAAUGCCAAUCUUGGAAUCUAUGCCUUGGUCGGGACGGUUGCUUGCAAUUUUUCGACUCGAACCAGGAAUUCCUUGUAAUCGUGAUUCAUCACAUCACGAUGAAUACGUCCCUGCCCUUUGUACACACCGCCCGUCGCUCCUACCGAUCGAAGAGUUAGGUGAAUUGUUUUGAUCGAUAAGAUUUGACUAUGGUCAACUCUCGUUGUGAAAUUCUGGGAAUCUGACUGUUUAGAGGAAGGAAAAGUCGUAACA